rnacentral:rRNA from 1 species
AUUGAACGCUGGCGGCAGGCCUAACACAUGCAAGUCGAGCGAGCGGCGGACGGGUGAGUAAUGUAUGGGGACUGCCCGAUAGAGGGGGAUAACUACUGGAAACGGUGGCUAAUACCGCAUACUAUCGGAUAACCCAUAUGGGAUUAGCUAGUUGGUGGGGAAAAGGCUCACAUAGUCGACGAUCUCUAGCUGGUCUGCGAGGAUUAUCAGCAACACUGGGACUGAGACACGGCCCAGACUCCGACGGAGGCAGCAGUGGGUAAGAUUGCACAAGGGGCGCAAGCCUGAUGCAGCAAUGCCGCGUGUAUGAAGAAGGCCUUAGGGUUGUAAAGUACUUUCAGCGGGGAGGCGUUACCCGCAGAAGAAGCACCGGCUAACUCCGUGCCAGCCGCCGCGGUAAUUC